rnacentral:misc_RNA from 1 species
GGUAUAUAUUUAUUUAUUUUUAAUGAUUUUUACAUUGAAAUGAUUGACCUUUCGAACGUCGAGAAUUGUCCUUUCGUGCUUAUGUGGUGUUUAUAACAAUUUAUGAAACGUACCAGACAAGUCUUUCUGAGUAUAUUCGGCCACUGUUUUUGGUAAAACACUGUUAAAUAGGAGUUAGCAAAAUUGAUAAAUAAUACGCAAAAAAUAUUAUUUGACAUAAGUUACAUCAUACUAAAAAUUCGAUUACAUUCAAUUGGACUAUACUUGUAAACAGUCGACACUGGAGACUAUUAAAGUGUUCACUGAGAUAUAUUCUUAAUUACGGCAUAAAUAUUUUAGUCAUUUUUAUAAUGGAUCAACCAGAAAACAAGUGUGAAUUAGGGUGUAAAAGCCGAUCGAAGAAAAAUUUGAAUGCUGCCUACGUAUACGAUAUAGUGAGACGUAUAUUGAAAACUUUGGAUAAUUCCGAAAUAGAGAAUUGCAUGAAAGUUUGCUCAUUGUGGAAGGAAAUAGGAGAAUCCAUAUUGAGAGGAAGAAUAACGAUUGCAGUUGAGGACUUACCACGUGAUAUAAUUGCAAUCACGAACUUUUAUCCAGAAUAUGUUCUUGGCUUCUUCAAAACACAAAAUGGCAACAUUAACAUCUUGACAGGAUAUAAUGGACAUUCGGAAGAAAACAUGGAAAGGAGUGAUGAAACUAAGACAAUACGACUUUUAUUGCGGUUGGAUGCUCGA